ACAGGAUCCCUUCCCCAGCGGCACUAUCAGUCACUUUUGCAGGGUAUUUCCUCUCUGCACCCUUUGGAAAAAAUGGAGGUAGUCAUACAGCAUCAUUUCAGCAGACACGGUCUUUAGCUGCUUUUGUCUACAAGUGUGGGGGCCCCAAGUCCCUGAAGGGAUUCGCACACAACAGCGUUUUUGUUAGAUUUUACACUUCAGGAUAAGGCACCAAGAGUAGAAGCAAUAGGCAGAGGAACAGGAUCCAUGCAAACAUGAGAAUACAAAGCAAUCGGACACACAUGUACAAGGUUUCACACCCCCUUCUGUGACCUGCCCAUCCAAGUUGACCGUGUAGUCUCUGGGUCUGUACCUUUUCUUCUUUUUACUAUCUGAACCUGAAGCAGCAUCAUCGCUGUCCAUUUUUGAAGUGUCCUGUGAAAAG